GGAGGAGGAGGUGCAGGGGGGAUACGCGCCUACGUGCGUCCGCCUGGUGAACUGAUGCAGGCGGCGACAGCUGGACGGAGCGCAGAGACGUCGACCUGCAGCCCGCUGCACGAGAGGAUGAUGUAGAGAGCUCACCGAUGUCUGCUGUCUUUGUGCCAGUGACCCCGUUGGCUCCUCCUGCACCUCCUGCUCCUCCUGCUCCUCCUGCUCCUCCUGCUCCGUCAGUCUGUCGUAGAGAGAGACAGAUGGACAGUGAGGACAUCAUGUAAACACAGUAUUCACCUUAUUAUCAACCAAAAUAGAGACUGGUGCAGUCUGUAGUCCUGAAACACAGGAAGCAGUUUGCAAUUUAGCACAAAGUCUGUGAGUUUGUUGAAUUGAUUGUUGGUUAUAUGACUGAAAUAAGGUCUUCUAAGUUUUGUUCUUUGAUAUAAAAUACAUCAUUAAAUGUCCCGCAGUUUAA